UUUACUUUUUCAAUCUUAGUGGCGAACGGGUGAGUAAUACAUAAGCAACCUGCCUCACUGCCUGGGAUAACUGAUGGAAACGUCAGCUAAUACCGGAUAGCUUAUCUUAAGACAUCUUAAGAUAAUUAAAGAUGGGAUACAUCACAAUGAGAUGGGCUUAUGGCGCAUUAGUUAGUUGGUAAGGUAACGGCUUACCAAGACGAUGAUGCGUAGCCGACCUGAGAGGGUGACCGGCCACACUGGGACUGAGACACGGCCCAGACUCCUACGGGAGGCAGCAGUGGGGAAUUUUCGGCAAUGGGGGAAACCCUGACCGAGCAACGCCGCGUGAGUGAAGAAGGCCUUCGGGUUGUAAAGCUCUGUUGUAAGGGAAGAACAAGUGUGAGAGGGAAUGCUCAUGCUAUGACGGUACCUUACCAGAAAGCCACG
rnacentral:rRNA from 1 species